rnacentral:rRNA from 1 species
CCUACGGGUGGCAGCAGUGGGGAAUAUUGCACAAUGGGGGAAACCCUGAUGCAGCGACGCCGCGUGAGUGAAGCAGUAUUUCGGUAUGUAAAGCUCUAUCAGCAGGGAAGAAAAAAGACGGUACCUGACUAAGAAGCCCCGGCUAACUACGUGCCAGCAGCCGCGGUAAUACGUAGGGGGCAAGCGUUAUCCGGAUUUACUGGGUGUAAAGGGAGCGUAGACGGAGAAGCAAGUCUGAAGUGAAAGCCCGUGGCUUAACCACGGGACUGCUUUGGAAACUGUUUGACUAGAGUGCUGGAGAGGUAGGUGGAAGGCCGGGUGGAGCGGUGAAAUGCGUAGAGAUUAGGAGGAACACCAGUGGCGAAGGCGGCUUACUGGACAGAAACGGACGUUGAGGCUAGAAAGCGUGGGGAGCAAACAGGAUUAGAUACCCGAGUAGUC